AAAGAAUGUCACAGCAGGGAUUGUAACCAAACGGUAGUGGAAGGUUGUUACUGUCCUGAUGGCCAAUAUCGGGUUAAUAUGACAUCAGAUAAGUGUACAACUUACUGCGAUUGCAUUGGCCCUGAUGGAUUACCUAGAAAGCCUGGGGACACGUGGACAUCUGAGUGUUUCUUGUAUAAAUGUGUAAAUCCUGGCAUUACUUCGAAAGAGCCAUUAAAGUGUCCAACUGAAAUGCCCUGUCCUGACGGAUAUAUAAAAACUGUUGUAAACUGCUGUCCAA